GGAUGAACGCUGGCGGCGUGCUUAACACAUGCAAGUCAAGGGGGCCCAGGCAAUGGGUAACCGGCGAACGGGUGCGUAACACGUGAGCAACCUACCGAAUUGUGGGGGAUAGCCGGCCCAACGGCCGGGUAAUACCGCAUACGAUCGAGACCAGGCAUUUGGACUCGAUGAAAAUCUACGGAGCAAUUCGAGGGGCUCGCGGCCUAUCAGCUAGUUGGUGAGGUAACGGCUCACCAAGGCGACGACGGUAGCUGGUCUGAGAGGAUGGCCAGCCACAUUGGGACUGAGA
rnacentral:rRNA from 1 species